UACGUAGGGACCGAGCGUUGUCCGGAAUUACUGGGCGUAAAGGGCGCGUAGGCGGACAGUUUAGUCAGAGGUGAAAGCCCAGGGCUCAACCUUGGAAUUGCCUUUGAUACUGGCUGUCUUGAGUUCGGGAGAGGUGAGUGGAAUGCCGAGUGUAGAGGUGAAAUUCGUAGAUAUUCGGCGGAACACCAGUGGCGAAGGCGACUCACUGGCCCGAUACUGACGCUGAGGCGCGAAAGCGUGGGGAGCAAACAGG
rnacentral:rRNA from 1 species